rnacentral:tRNA from 1 species
GGGGUAGAAGCUCAGUGGUUGAGCAAUCGAUUGCAGAGGUUCUUACGCGGCGCUGAUCAGGCUAAAAUCGAUAGGUCAUGUGUUCGAUCCACAUCUGCCCCU